ensembl:snoRNA
GCCCUGCCUUUGAGCCCACCCCCACCCCGAAGGGCAUGCCCUUGCGUGGUGGGGGGAGGGGCAGGCUGCAGUGCCAGAGCCUGCGCAUGUGCAUAACUGGGGCUGCCUGGUCCUCCACUGAAGGCCCUUUUAGCCCCAAGCCAUGGGG